rnacentral:lncRNA from 1 species
AAAACCCUUUCCAGCCCAAACCCGACCCAUUCCCAUUCACAAAAACGAACAGACUCAGAGAGCCUUAAAUCCCAAGCGAAUGCAAGCCCCAUUUUAGUCCAAAUCCAUGGCGAGUGAAUCCAACCUCCAACCACGCGUUCCCUCCUCUCCUCUUGCCAUUUCUAACGGUUUCUGACACCAAAGAUUCCCCUUCCUUUCAGUCGCUCGAUUUUAAGGUAAGACACGCAAUUGGAAGGUCCUAGAGAACGAUUCGUUGGAUGAGUGUGAGGUGUUGGAUGGAUUUCACUCAAUCCAACCCCCGCAUUGAUCAGGGGUUCGUUUUCAAAAAGGGCCCAUUCCGAUUUUGCAGAAAAAGGGAUUUUCGGGGAAAAAUCAGUAGAGGAAAAGGGUUCUGGGGUUCUUCGACUUUUCUGGGAGAUUUGUCUCAUCUUCCUAUGCUCUCUUUAAUUUCGAUGUCGAUUCUCUAGUUAGUUUUGAUGUUGAUUCGUCGGGAUAAGAAUUGGAGUUCAGUUAGCUAAUUUGAUGUUAACUUGGUUUGAAUGUUUGAGGUCGUAUUGAGAUUUCUGUGUAUUCAGUGUGUCAAUCGGAAGUUGAUUGAUCAUUGUGUUCCUGCUUAUGAUUAAGUAGUCGAAAGUUUUCAGCCAUUAGAGGAGCAUGUUUUCUUUGAUUUCAUUUCUGUUUAAGGUCUAGGGUGUUGAGUUUAGAUUUUUCUUUUAUUAUAAUCUUUGAAACAGGUUCACAAAUAAAACCACGUUUUCGUUGAAAUAUGUGUAAAUGUCUCCAUGAGGCUUCACUUCAUUCAAAAUCGAAGUUCAUAUUGGAUAUCUCUGAUUUAGUAUUGAGACUGUAAUUUCGUUAGCCAAUUUAAGGAAGAUAAAUGUGAAUUUCCAUGGGCUGUUGUUCCUCAUGAUUUUUUGGGAUUGAGUGAUUUUCUUCAGUGAUUUGGUGUUAUUGAGUCGAGCUUUUAAGCGAGCUUGUUUGCCUUGUGUGCUCCAUUUCUCUGUAUAAAGCACAUGUUAGUUUUGUUAUGCUCUCCUAGUCACUGUUAGUUAAUAUGGAUUGAUCUCUCCUGGGAAUGUCUUUCAAGCAUGUCAUUAGUAUAAUAGAUGCAAAUUGAUUGAGGUUAAUCAUUCAUGUCAUGGAUAUUGUUUGGUUAAUGAGAAGAAGUAUGUAAGUAUGCAUGUUGGAUAACAUUUAGCUUCAACUAUAAGACCACAGAGAUUGAUGUUCACGUUUCCAGCAGCCAUUUCUGUCCUUGGGCUUCUUGAACAGGAUUCAACAUAAAAUUGUGUAGUAGUAUGGCUUUAUUCUCUUUGAAAUCAGUUUGCAUUUUUGCCAGUCGAGCUCAUGUGUUUUUGUGUCUUAUUUUCCUAGCAAGCCCCUGUUUUGUAUGGCUGAUUGCAGGCUUAAAAUGUGAUAAUAAGUGAUGCGAUUGUCUAAUAUUGAAAGAGGAUUCCAUGUAAAUUGUGAGGCCUCAGUCUUGUUUGAAAGGGAACUAGCUAAGUUCAGUGUGAAUCUUGCUCAAUUUAAAGUCGUUUUGUUAAGAAGUUGAAAUGACGUUCUCUUUCGCAUACUGAUUUUUUUGGAUCUGUCGUUUGGAUUGCUCUAGUUUUUUGUUAUUUUCUCUGUUGCACUUCAUGAUUCAAUCCUUAUUUGAACAAGUAUCACUUGCUUUGGAAUUCUGGAUGAGCGUCGGAUUUAGGCUUAUACAAAGCCAAAUGAAUGUGAGAACCAUUUCAGUUUCUGUCAGUUGAUUUUAGCCAAUUUUUUGUUGUAGUUUAAAGAUUCUAUACAAAG